rnacentral:rRNA from 1 species
AAUCAACGCUGGCGGCGCGCCUCAGACAUGCAAGUCGAACGCGAAAUUUCCCUUCGGGGAGAAAGUAGAGUGGCGCACGGGUGAGUAACACGUGGGUAAUUUACCUUCGGGUGGGGAAUAACAGUCGGAAACGACUGCUAAUACCGCAUGAUGCAGCGGCACCACAUGGUGACAGUUGUUAAAGCGGGGGAUCGCAAGACCUCGCGCCUGAAGAGAAGCCCGCGGCAGAUUAGCUAGUUGGUAAGGUAAUGGCUUACCAAGGCAACGAUCUGUAGCCGGCCUGAGAGGGCGGUCGGCCACACUGACACUGAAUAACGGGUCAGACUCCUACGGGAGGCAGCAGUGGGGAAUAUUGCGCAAUGGGCGAAAGCCUGACGCAGCGACGCCGCGUGAGGGAUGACGGCCU